rnacentral:miRNA from 2 species
UUUUGAUUGUUGCUCAGAAGGC